rnacentral:rRNA from 1 species
GACGAACGCUGGCGGCGUGCUUAACACAUGCAAGUCGAACGAAAAGAGGGAAAGAGCUUGCUCUUUCCGGAAUUGAGUGGCAAACGGGUGAGUAACACGUAAACAACCUGCCUUCAGGAUGGGGACAACAGACGGAAACGACUGCUAAUACCGAAUAAGUUCCAAGAGCCGCAUGGCCCAUGGAAGAAAAGGUGGCCUCUACCUGUAAGCUAUCGCCUGAAGAGGGGUUUGCGUCUGAUUAGCUGGUUGGAGGGGUAACGGCCCACCAAGGCGACGAUCAGUAGCCGGUCUGAGAGGAUGAACGGCCACACUGGAACUGAGACACGGUCCAGACUCCUACGGGAGGCAGCAGUGGGGAAUCUUCCGCAAUGGGCGAAAGCCUGACGGAGCAACGCCGCGUGAGUGAUGACGGCCUUCGUGUUGUAAAACUCUGUGAUCCGGGACGAAAAGGCAGAGUGCGAAGAACAAACUGCAUUGACGGUACCGGAAAAGCAAGCCACGGCUAACUACGUG